CCUACGGGGUGCUGCAGUGGGGAAUAUUGCACAAUGGGCGCAAGCCUGAUGCAGCCAUGCCGCGUGUGUGAAGAAGGCCUUCGGGUUGUAAAGCACUUUCAGCGGGGAGGAAGGCGUUAAGGUUAAUAACCUUGGCGAUUGACGUUACCCGCAGAAGAAGCACCGGCUAACUCCGUGCCAGCAGCCGCGGUAAUACGGAGGGUGCAAGCGUUAAUCGGAAUUACUGGGCGUAAAGCGCACGCAGGCGGUCUGUCAAGUCGGAUGUGAAAUCCCCGGGCUCAACCUGGGAACUGCAUUCGAAACUGGCAGGCUAGAGUCUUGUAGAGGGGGGUAGAAUUCCAGGUGUAGCCGUGAAAUGCGUAGAGAUCUGGAGGAAUACCGGUGGCGAAGGCGGCCCCCUGGACAAAGACUGACGCUCAGGUGCGAAAGCGUGGGGAGCAAACAGGAUUAGAUACCCGGGUAGUC
rnacentral:rRNA from 1 species